UAUCCGUAUCGGAUACGAAUCCGAUACGGAUACGGGACCAAAUUUCACGUAUCCGUGCUUCUUAGAUACCGGGUAUUGUUUAAGACUUCAAAUGGAUAUGUUCCAUCAAAUUUUCAGGACCAUUUGCUUGUUUUUUCUAGUUAGGGAAGUCGAUUAGGUAGGCAUGGGUUGGAUUGUGGGUUUUAACAUUUAAAAAUUCUUGCUUCCAAAUCCAUAUUCUAGUUUGGAUUAUUGACCGCUUUUCAAUUCAUGCCAACAACUUUUUUUCUAAUGUUAAUUGUUUACUAACCACCCGUAUCCAACUCUAUAGGUCUGAAUGGUGACUGUGUACCCAAUUUUUAUUCUUUGUUUUAUAUCCAAAUAUCUGAGUAUCACAACUACACCUGAUUUAUUGAUGAAAAGUUAUAGUAAUUUUUUAACACACAAGUAUUCAUCUCGUUUUAGCGAAUAAGCAAUAUAUGUUAGGUAAAAAGAAGCAAGACAGGAGUGUAGUUUAUGAAACUGGGACUUGUUUCAAUAUCAAUGAUUAGAAGAUUACUUAUAAUGAUUAUAAAAAGAUAUCUAGAUUUUAAUUAUCGCCAAUUUAGUGUUUUUUUUUUCCUUUGAAUAAAUGUAAUUUCUUAUAAAUUGUAUUGGUAUUUGGGUACAAAAUAGGCAAGCAUGUGGGUUGCAGUGUGAGAUUGAUUAACACCUGUUUCUGUAUAAGGAAAACCCUGAACUUAUUCUGCUUACCACCUGUUUAAAUGUUUCCAGUGUUGUGCUAUUUUCAUAGUUAAAUGGUCCCUGCAGGCAGUUCAUGUUGCUGCACAAUAUGGACAGACAGCUUUUCUAAAUCACAUAGUAGUAAAGUACCAUGCUGAUUUUGAUGUGCCUGAUAAUGAUGGAAGGAGUCCUCUUCAUUGGGCUGCAUAUAAGGGAUUUGCCGACACAAUAAGAUUACUCCUAUUUAGAGAUGCAAGUCAAGGAAGGAAAGAUAAAGAUGGCUUCAGAAUCACAACAUGACUACUAACGAUGCCUAUCAAUAUUUUGUACUGAAGGCCCAAGAGAUAGCUGUUAACUUUGGUUGUUUGUAGUGAUUUGGCUUGUCAUAUAGAUG